GACGAACGCUGGCGGCGUGCCUAAUACAUGCAAGUCGAACGCAUUUUCUUUCACCGUAGCUUGCUACACCGAAAGAAAAUGAGUGGCGAACGGGUGAGUAACACGUGGGUAACCUGCCCAUCAGCGGGGGAUAACACUUGGAAACAGGUGCUAAUACCGCAUAAUUCCAUUUACCGCAUGGUAGAUGGGUGAAAGGCGCUUUUGCGUCACUGAUGGAUGGACCCGCGGUGCAUUAGCUAGUUGGUGGGGUAACGGCCUACCAAGGCUGCGAUGCAUAGCCGACCUGAGAGGGUGAUCGGCCACACUGGGACUGAGACACGGCCCAGACUCCUACGGGAGGCAGCAGUAGGGAAUCUUCGGCAAUGGACGCAAGUCUGACCGAGCAACGCCGCGUGAGUGAAGAAGGUUUUCGGAUCGUAAAACUCUGUUGUUAGAGAAGAAAAAGGAUGAGAGUGGAAAGUUCAUCCCUUGACGGUAGCUAACCAGAAAGCCACGGCUAACUACGUG
rnacentral:rRNA from 1 species